AAUACAAAAACACAAAAGUAUCAAAACUUUAUGUAAUUGCAUAAAAGGCCCAAAAUCACCCCCACUUGGGGUUGGCCAGUUUUAUUAGGGAAAAGGAGUGUGAAAAGGUAUUUGGUGAUAAAUGUGCAUGCAAGUGGAAUAAGUGGGUGAGGAUAAAGGUGAAUGGGUUGUAAGAAAAAUGUUUUGUGAAACAUUAAUAGCAUUUAUCAUCUCUCACCAAUAAUCCAUCACCCAUCAAAAUAAACCAAAACUUUAUGAAAAACACCAAACACUUUGAAUCAAAUCUCCAAACCUUUUUGUUCUUGGUAAGAAACUCAAGAACAUUGAAGAACAUGUAUGAAAACUCAUAAGAGCUCCAUGAAUAUUUUCACACAAUAAAACUCAAAUUUUCACUACAUAAAAGAGGGUUAACAUCCUAGGGUACUUAGGGGUUCCAAAAGUCACUUUAAAACUCUUUUAACAAGACA
rnacentral:lncRNA from 1 species